AUUGAACGCUGGCGGCAUGCCUUACACAUGCAAGUCGAACGGCAGCACGGGUGCUUGCACCUGGUGGCGAGUGGCGAACGGGUGAGUAAUACAUCGGAACGUACCUUAUCGUGGGGGAUAACGCAGCGAAAGCUGUGCUAAUACCGCAUACGCCCUGAGGGGGAAAGCGGGGGAUCGAAAGACCUCGCGCGAUUAGAGCGGCCGAUGCCUGAUUAGCUUGUUGGUGGGGUAAAAGCCCACCAAGGCGACGAUCAGUAGCUGGUYUGAGAGGACGAUCGGCCACACUGGGAMUGAGACACGGCCCAGACUCCUACGGGAGGCAGCAGUGGGGAAUUUUGGACAAUGGGGGCAACCCUGAUCCAGCAAUGCCGCGUGAGUGAAGAAGGCCUUCGGGUUGUAAAGCUCUUUUGUCAGGGAAGAAACACCGGCUCUAACACAGUCCGGGAAUGACGGUACCUGAAGAAUAAGCACCGGCUAAUCUGUG
rnacentral:rRNA from 1 species